rnacentral:rRNA from 1 species
GACGAACGCUGGCGGUGUGCUUAACACAUGCAAGUCGAACGGUAAGGCCCUUUCGGGGGUACACGAGUGGCGAACGGGUGAGUAACACGUGAGUAACCUGCCCUCAUCUCUGGGAUAACAGUCGGAAACGGUUGCUAAUACUGGAUAUGAGCUUGCAAGGCAUCUUGUGGGUUGGAAAGAUUUUUUUUGGUUGGGGAUGGACUCGCGGCCUAUCAGCUUGUUGGUGAGGUUGUGGCUCACCAAGGCUUCGACGGGUAGCCGGCCUGAGAGGGCGACCGGCCACAUUGGGACUGAGAUACGGCCCAAACUCCUACGGGAGGCAGCAGUGGGGAAUAUUGCACAAUGGACGGAAGUCUGAUGCAGCAACGCCGCGUGCGGGAUGACGGCCUUCGGGUUGUAAACCGCUUUCAAUUGUGACGAAGCUUUUUUGUGACGGUAGCAGUAGAAGAAGCACCGGCUAACUACGUG